GACGAACGCUGGCGGCGUGCCUAAUACAUGCAAGUAGAACGCUGAAGGAGGAGCUUGCUUCUCUGGAUGAGUUGCGAACGGGUGAGUAACGCGUAGGUAACCUGCCUGGUAGCGGGGGAUAACUAUUGGAAACGAUAGCUAAUACCGCAUAAGAGUAGAUGUUGCAUGACAUUUGCUUAAAAGGUGCAAUUGCACCACUACCAGAUGGACCUGCGUUGUAUUAGCUAGUUGGUGGGGUAACGGCUCACCAAGGCGACGAUACAUAGCCGACCUGAGAGGGUGAUCGGCCACACUGGGACUGAGACACGGCCCAGACUCCUACGGGAGGCAGCAGUAGGGAAUCUUCGGCAAUGGACGGAAGUCUGACCGAGCAACGCCGCGUGAGUGAAGAAGGUUUUCGGAUCGUAAAGCUCUGUUGUAAGAGAAGAACGAGUGUGAGAGUGGAAAGUUCACACUGUGACGGUAUCUUACCAGAAAGGGACGGCUAACUACGUGCCAGCAGCCGCGGUAAUACGUAGGUCCCGAGCGUUGUCCGGAUUUAUUGGGCGUAAAGCGAGCGCAGGCGGUUAGAUAAGUCUGAAGUUAAAGGCUGUGGCUUAACCAUAGUACGCUUUGGAAACUGUUUAACUUGAGUGCAAGAGGGGAGAGUGGAAUUCCAUGUGUAGCGGUGAAAUGCGUAGAUAUAUGGAGGAACACCGGUGGCGAAAGCGGCUCUCUGGCUUGUAACUGACGCUGAGGCUCGAAAGCGUGGGGAGCAAACAGG
rnacentral:rRNA from 1 species